UACGUAGGGUGCGAGCGUUAAUCGGAAUUACUGGGCGUAAAGCGUGCGUAGGCGGUUUCGCAAGUCCGCUGUGAAAGCCCCGGGCUUAACCUGGGAAUGGCAGUGGAAACUAUGGGACUUGAAUCUGGCAGAGGGGGGUGGAACUCCACGUGUAGCAGUGAAAUGCGUAGAUAUGUGGAAGAACACCGAUGGCGAAGGCAGCCCCCUGGGCUGAGAUUGACGCUGAGGCACGAAAGCGUGGGGAG
rnacentral:rRNA from 1 species